CACACUUCGUUUACAUUAUUUAAUAAAGAAGUAUGGCGCUUUUGACUCCGUGGUUCCGUUAAAAGGUUUUAAUCCGGGUUAGUGCUUUUAUUAUUAAUAGGAACGAAAGCGAGCUGAUCCUGGAGUCCCUGCAAUCCUUCUCGAAACUCCUGAACAGUUUGCCAGGGUUCAAAUUCAGUUCCUUUCAAGUUACCGGAGCAGUGAGGAUCAAGUUGCUAUUCGGUCAAGAGGAUCCAGGUCUAAGGAGAUCCUCGAUCCAGUUAUUAGGAGAUCUGGCAACAUCCCUUGGCCAGGAGACCAAUUUUGAGGCAUUCAAGGAUCGAGUGAGAUCCAAGGGAACCUCAUCACUUUACUCUUGCAUCUAUGCAAUCCAGACGUGUAUGUUGUCAAGGCCUCUAAAAGUACAAUCCAGAAGGUUGGCCCUUAUCUGGAUUUUCCGGAGGUAUACCGCAUGAUCCAGGAGUGUUUGGGCGACGACACCGACUUGAUGUUCACGGAUUUUAUUAAGGAGUUAAUUAAACGCAUAGGAUUUAUGGAAUCAAUGAUAUCAAGGUUACUUGGGGAUCAAAUCGAGGACGAGUUGGUUUAAUGGUGGUGUCUAAGCGCCAAUCCCGCCCUUGUCACCGGUUUUUUCUACGCCAAACUACUAAAGUUUCACUGGAAACUGUCUGCGAUAAACUGAUUAGACUGAUGCAAGACGAGUCAGAAGAAGUUAGGAUUAAGGCAAGUCAAGCUAUAUCGUGUUUGUUUUUAUAAUUAUUUAUUUUUAAUUUUUACAACGGGGCACCUUGUACGUAAUAAUAAAAAACUAAAAAAAUUGUAGUUUUUGAAAAAAAAAACGAAAUUUCGGUUUUUUACCAUUAACAUGUACUUUAUAAGUUCGUAAAUUUUGCAUAACUUUUUUGGUAUUUAAGAUAGAGCUUUCAUUUAAAAACUGUCAAAUACUCCUUGCAAAGGGGCACCUUGUACGUAAUAAUCAAAAACUAAAAAAAUUGUAGUUUUUGAAAAAAAUCGAAAUUUCGGUUUUUUACAAUUAACAUGUACUUUUUUAGAUCGAAAAUUUUGCAUAACUUUUUUGUUAUUAAAGAUAGAGCUUUCGUUUAAAAACAGUCAACUACUCCUAGCGAAGGGGCACCUUGCACAUAAUUAUCAAAAUUUAAAAAAUUAUAGUUUUUGAGAAAAAUCGAAAUUUCGGUUUUUUACAAUUAACAUGUACUUUUUUAGAUCGAAAAUUUUGCAUAACUUUUUUGUUAUUAAAGAUAGAGCUUUCAUUUAAAAACUGUCAAGUACUCCUUGCAAAGGGGCACCUUGUACGUAAUAAUCAAAAACUAAAAAAAUUGUAGUUUUUGAAAAAAAUCGAAAUUUCGGUUUUUUACAAUUAACAUGUACUUUUUUAGAUCGAAAAUUUUGCAUAACUUUUUUGUUAUUAAAGAUAGAGCUUUCGUUUAAAAACAGUCAACUACUCCUAGCGAAGCAGCAC
rnacentral:misc_RNA from 1 species